UCCAACCACACGAGCUCCGUGACUUUCUCAUGGCACUUACCCUCAGCUUUACCGAUUCACCUUCUUCUUCAUUCGUCUUCCCUCACCUUCUUUUACCCCUAAACUCAAAAACCCUCUUCUUGCCUAUUGUUAUCUCCUUCGAUCUCAAAAGCCACGUUCUCUCUAUCAAACCCAAUCACGUUCACAAUCUUAUAAACCCUAAAAAAAUAAUUGAUUGAACCCAGAAAUCUAUUAAAACUCUAUAAAUCGAUUGAACCGAUAACUUAGAAUUCGAUUUAUUUGUUUCCAAAAAUCGAUUGAAACCCAAAAACCAUCUUCCAUCUUUAACAAUACUUUGUGUGUCAAAGAUUUCGAUUCACGUUAAACAUCUACACUUAUACUGAAGAAAGCAGGAUGGAUGGUAGUCAAAAGGUUUGAAAAAAUGGCCACGGUCGCGUUUUGGUCCCGUAAAGGUUUUCAAGAUUUUUCAAUCGGUACAGGUGUUGCAGCAUUGAUUGCAGUCGAUAUGAUGUGAGUUAACUUCAAAUUGUUCUUUAACAUAGAAAUGGUGAAUACCGUUGUGUCGUUGUUGGUUUUCAAGGCUGCGGACCGUUUUUUAAAACCUAGUCAUCUUACCAAUCCUUCUCCCAUUGUUGCUUCUUUUCAUCAGUGACAUUCUAGUGCUCAAGGUUUUCUUCUGACCUUUGCUUAGGUCAAAAUUGUGAUGUAGUUUUGUCACUUUUAUUAUGAUGAAUUGCACAAUAGAGGCAGGAAUCAUCAAAUAAGAAGUUUAGGAACAUGGAUGAGUACCACUUUUCUGAUCUUUAAUGAUUUAAUAUAGUUUGCUCAAGGUGUAGAACAAGCAGUGUGAAAAGCAACAAUACCUCAAAAAUUAAGGGACAUUUGACUAGAGUGGGUUGAUUAUGGCGUUGAUGCGUACUCUGAUGCUUGUCUCGAAUCUAGCCCCUGUGUGGUUCCGUGUGCAAAAUUUGGCGGCUUCACCAAUAUAAGAUCAUUGUACCUCUUUCUCCUAAAAUCAAGCAUGAGGAGGUAUUUAUCUUAACUAUUUGCUGACCAUUCUUGUGAUUUUGUUGGAUCCUAAAUAUCAUUUCCCAAUUUUUACAGAACUACUAGUUUGAGUUUAAUGAAAUGUGUUUAUUGAAGUAUUGCUUGAUUACUUAUCUUGUUUCAUAUGUUGAUGUGUUGAAUUGUUGUGCAUUCUAAGAUGUCAUAGCUACAUGAAAGAUAUUGGAAUUGACAUCAACAGUACAAGUAUAUGAUCUAGUAAUAUUGUACCAGCCAUGUGAAAAUUUUGUUACUUCCUAAAUAUAUGAUCUAGUAAUAAUGUACCAGCUAGCGUUUUUUUAUAAUGCACACUAGUGUUGAGCUUUUCUUUGAUGAGUUUGAAGCUAGCGAUGCAAACAUAAAGCAACUUUUCAACCAUUGUAAUACAAUUAUGCGGUCUGAUAAAACAAAUGCAUCUCAAAUAUUCACUUAUGCAAAUCAAGCUGGACUAUAUAUGCUUGAAACUACUCUAGCUGUCCUUCAAAAUAUAAAGCUCUAGAUGAAGCUUCCAGGAAGAUUCUUUUCUCUAAAUUCUCUAAGAUGAUGCAACAUGUAACUAAAUUGCUUGUUACUGGAAUACUAUUCUUUUAUUAUUUUAAAGCUAAUGCAUUUUUAACAAGGAUCAAAAUG